rnacentral:rRNA from 1 species
AUUGAACGCUGGCGGCAGGCCUAACACAUGCAAGUCGAACGAGUGGCGGACGGGUGAGUAAUGUCUCGGAAUCUGCUUUGUGGUGGGGGAUAACUACUGGAAACUUUCGCUAAUACCGCAUACCAUCGAAUGUGCCCAUGUGGGAUUAGCUUGUUGGCGGGGUAACGGCUCACCACGGCGACGAUCCCUAGCUGGUCUGAGAGGAUGAUCAGCCACACUGGAACUGAGACACGGUCCAGACUCCUACGGGAGGCAGCAGUGGGGAAUAUUGGACAAUGGGCGAAAGCCUGAUCCAGCCAUGCCGCGUGUGUGAAGAAGGCCUUCGGGUUGUAAAGCACUUUAAGUUGGGAGGCGUUACCAGCAGAAGAAGCACCGGCUAACUCCGUGCCAGCAGCCGCGGUAAUAC